GGGUCCUACGGGGGGCAGCAGUAGGGAAUCUUCCACAAUGGGCGAAAGCCUGAUGGAGCAACGCCGCGUGGGUGAAGAAGGUCUUCGGAUCGUAAAACCCUGUUGUUAGAGAAGAAAGUGCGUGAGAGUAACUGUUCACGUUUCGACGGUAUCUAACCAGAAAGCCACGGCUAACUACGUGCCAGCAGCCGCGGUAAUACGUAGGUGGCAAGCGUUAUCCGGAUUUAUUGGGCGUAAAGGGAACGCAGGCGGUCUUUUAAGUCUGAUGUGAAAACCCGGGGCUCAACCCCGGGACUGCAUUGGAA
rnacentral:rRNA from 1 species